rnacentral:lncRNA from 1 species
CUCAUUUCUCAACCCGACUGUGAUGACUGCCGCUUGCUGGAAAGAUGCUCUGAAGACACAAUGAACUGACGAUGCGUCACCCCGACUCCUGCCUGAGCCACUCCAUUCCUUAAAGACGCAACCGAAUGCCAAAAAUACGGAGGAGGCAGUGCGGCAUGGAGGCGGAUCUGCCUUACGAAAUGGGCAGGGGCCCCACGCGUGGGAGACGGCCACAGGCAUUUGGAAGAGUGUGGCACUUUUUCAGGAAAUGCAACAUCCUUCUACUCUGUGACCCAGCGGCUCCCCCUGGUGUUUACCAGAGAGAAAUGGACGCAGACAUCUGCCCAGAUGCAGGCACAGGAAGCAAGAUAAACAAAAAGCAUGAAGGAGUACUCAGAUCAAGACGGGAGGAAAAACCAUCUUGAAACAAGAAAGUGAUAGAAGCAGAAUUUAAGACCUGGAGAGGAGGAUAAAGCAGGAACAGCGGUUAGCCUGUGCUCAGCCUCCUGGUGUCUGCAGCCAUCUCCCCACCGAGGGACGCGCGUGGCCGGUGCACCUCUCCCCUGUCCUCAGCCGCUCAGCAUCCACAGCCCUUGUCCUUCUUCCCAUCCACUGCUCAACGUGGAGAACUUAUGGGAGCCAGG